AACUGACUAGUCUAAAAAAGACGUAUACUUUGAAAGUAUAAAAUAAGAAUCUCUUGUUAGUUU
rnacentral:tRNA from 1 species